rnacentral:sRNA from 1 species
CUACGUCCUGCAAUCUCUCUUCAAGAGUGG